rnacentral:rRNA from 1 species
GAUGAACGCUAGCUACAGGCCUAACACAUGCAAGUCGAGGGGUAACGAGAGGAAAGCUUGCUUUCCUUGUCGACGACCGGCGCACGGGUGAGUAACGCGUAUCCAACCUGCCCCCAACUAGGGAAUAACCUUGCGAAAGUAAGACUAAUACCCUAUAAUUUCCUCAGAUGACAUCUGACGAGGAAUAAAGAUUUAUCGGUUGUGGAUGGGGAUGCGUCUGAUUAGCUUGUUGGCGGGGUAACGGCCCACCAAGGCAACGAUCAGUAGGGGUUCUGAGAGGAAGGUCCCCCACAUUGGAACUGGGACACGGUCCAAACUCCUACGGGGGGCAGCAGUGAGGAAUAUUGGUCAAUGGGCGAAAGCCUGAACCAGCCAAGUAGCGUGCAGGAUGACGGCCCUAUGGGUUGUAAACUGCUUUUAUACAGGAAUAAAGUUAGCCACGUGUGGUUAUUUGUAGGUACUGUAUGAAUAAGGACCGGCUAAUUCCGUGCCAGCAGCCGCCGUAA